rnacentral:misc_RNA from 1 species
AGAGAGAGAGAGAGAGAGAACAAUGAAGAAGUGGACAAUCACAGCAGACAUAUUGUUUAUAAGAUAAAAUUAUGGCAAUCAUUAAAUUUAACAUUUUUAGAUCCAAAUGAUUCCCAUAGUUCAUGUAACCAAAUGUGUUUUACAAACAAAGUAACAAACCAUAGCCAUCUUGGUAUUUGAAUUAUUUUCUGAGAUUUUUCAAAAAGCUAACAACUGCUUUGAGUUUGAAUUUUCCAUAUUUAAUUUCUUUAUUUUGUAGGUUCAAAUAUUAAUUCAUUCAGAUUUAUUUAGUUCCCAUUCACAUAUUUUACAUAUUCAGUAAUUUUAGACAUUUGAAGCUUCAAGGUUUAAAGUCCUGUAGAUAUGUCAAACAAAUCUGAUAAAGUCAAUCCAACAAUAAGCAAUUUCUUUCAACACCUAAGAGGGAUUUUUAAAAACUAAACUAAAGGGCACUAAGCAGGGGCUAACCUGAUACCACAAAAGUCUUGGUGGCAAUUUAAAACCUCUAUUCUCAUUAAAAAUUUUCAAAUUAUUUGUCAAUGGAGUUACAUAUCUUACCUGUGCAGGAACAGCAACAGCCA